rnacentral:rRNA from 1 species
ACGUAGGGGGCAAGCGUUGUUCGGAAUUACUGGGCGUAAAGGGCAUGUAGGCGGCCUUGUAAGCUUGGCGUGAAAGUCCACGGCUUAACCGUGGGAUUGCGUUGAGAACUGCGAGGCUUGAGUGACGGAGAGGGAGCUAGAAUUCCUGGUGUAGGGGUGGAAUCUGUAGAUAUCAGGAAGAAUACCAAUGGCGAAGGCAAGCUCCUGGCCGAUGACUGACGCUGAGGUGCGAAAGUGUGGGGAUCAAACAG